GGUUUGAGCCCGUGUCACUGUCUUAGGUGACCAGUGAUGCUUUUAAACUUGGCUGCAUCAAACAACACCUGGCUUUGAUUGAGUAUCAAAGGUGAUGUCAAAAGGGCUAUAUAAAGCUAAGACUCCCCAGGAGGAGGGGCAGCAGCCAUGAUAUAGACACAAGCAG